AGUAACGGCGAGUGAAGCGGCAAGAGCUCAAAUUUGAAAUCUGGCCCCUCCGGGGUCCGAGUUGUAAUUUGCAGAGGAUGCUUCGGGUGUGGCCCCUGUCUAAGUGCCCUGGAACGGGCCGUCAGAGAGGGUGAGAAUCCCGUCUUGGGCAGGGUGCCCAUGCCCGUGUGAAGCUCCUUCGACGAGUCGAGUUGUUUGGGAAUGCAGCUCUAAAUGGGUGGUAAAUUUCAUCUAAAGCUAAAUACCGGCCGGAGACCGAUAGCGCACAAGUAGAGUGAUCGAAAGAUGAAAAGCACUUUGAAAAGAGAGUUAAACAGCACGUGAAAUUGUUGAAAGGGAAGCGCUUGCGACCAGACUCGGCCUCGGGGUUCAGCCAGCACUCGUGCUGGUGUACUUCCCCGGGGGCGGGCCAGCGUCGGUUUGGGCGGCCGGUCAAAGGCCCCAGGAAUGUAUCACCCUCCGGGGUUGUCUUAUAGCCUGGGGUGCAAUGCGGCCAGCCUGGACCGAGGAACGCGCUUCGGCACGGACGCUGGCAUAAUGGUUGCAAACG
rnacentral:rRNA from 1 species